rnacentral:rRNA from 1 species
UACGGAAGGCAGCAGUGGGGAAUAUUGCACAAUGGGCGCAAGCCUGAUGCAGCCAUGCCGCGUGUAUGAAGAAGGCCUUCGGGUUGUAAAGUACUUUCAGUCGUGAGGAAGGUGUUAAGGUUAAUAACCUUAGCAAUUGACGUUAGCGACAGAAGAAGCACCGGCUAACUCCGUGCCAGCAGCCGCGGUAAUACGGAGGGUGCGAGCGUUAAUCGGAAUUACUGGGCGUAAAGGGCACGCAGGCGGUUAAUUAAGUUGGAUGUGAAAUCCCCGGGCUUAACCUGGGAAUGGCAUUCAAGACUGGUUAGCUAGAGUCUUGUAGAGGGGGUUAGAAUUCCAUGUGUAGCGGUGAAAUGCGUAGAGAUGUGGAGGAAUACCGGUGGCGAAGGCGGCCCCUGGACAAGACUGACGCUCAUGUGCGAAAGCGUGGGGAGCAAACAGGGAUUAGAUACCCGU